UGCAAGUCGAGCGAUGAAGCUUYCUUCGGGAAGUGGAUUAGCGGCGGACGGGUGAGUAACACGUGGGUAACCUGCCUCAAAGUGGGGGAUAGCCUUCCGAAAGGAAGAUUAAUACCGCAUAACAUAAGAGAAUCGCAUGAUUUUCUUAUCAAAGAUUUAUUGCUUUGAGAUGGACCCGCGGCGCAUUAGCUAGUUGGUAAGGUAACGGCUUACCAAGGCAACGAUGCGUAGCCGACCUGAGAGGGUGAUCGGCCACAUUGGAACUGAGACACGGUCCAGACUCCUACGGGAGGCAGCAGUGGGGAAUAUUGCGCAAUGGGGGAAACCCUGACGCAGCAACGCCGCGUGGGUGAUGAAGGUCUUCGGAUUGUAAAGCCCUGUUUUCUGGGACGAUAAUGACGGUACCAGAGGAGGAAGCCACGGCUAACUACGUGCCAGCAGCCGCGGUAAUACGUAGGUGGCGAGCGUUGUCCGGAUUUACUGGGCGUAAAGGGUGCGUAGGCGGAUGUUUAAGUGGGAUGUGAAAUCCCCGGGCUUAACCUGGGGGCUGCAUUCCAAACUGGAUAUCUAGAGUGCAGGAGAGGAAAGCGGAAUUCCUAGUGUAGCGGUGAAAUGCGUAGAGAUUAGGAAGAACACCAGUGGCGAAGGCGGCUUUCUGGACUGUAACUGACGCUGA
rnacentral:rRNA from 1 species